CCUACGGGAGGCUGCAGUGAGGAAUAUUGGUCAAUGGGCGCGAGCCUGAACCAGCCAAGUCGCGUGAGGGAAGACGGCCCUACGGGUUGUAAACCUCUUUUGCCGGGGAGCAACGGGCGCCACGUGUGGCGCCACGGAGAGGACCCGGAGAAAAAGCAUCGGCUAACUCCGUGCCAGCAGCCGCGGUAGUACGGAGGAUGCGAGCGUUAUCCGGUUUUAUUGGGUUUAAAGGGGGCGUUGGCGGGGCGGUAAGUCCGUGGUCACAUUGAGGGGCUCAACCCCUUCCCGCCAUUGAAACUGGCGCUCUUGAGUGGAAGAGCAGUAUGCGGAAUGCGUGGUGUAGCGGUGAAAUGCAUCGAUAUCACGCAGAACCCCGAUUGCGCAGGCCGCAUGCCGGCUUCCUCCUGACGCUGCUGCACGAACGCGUGGGGAUCGAACAGGAUUAGAUACCCGUGUAGUC
rnacentral:rRNA from 1 species